CGUGAAAUUGUUGAAAGGGAAGCGCUUGUGACCAGACUUGGGCGCGGCGGAUCAUCCGGGGUUCUCUCCUGUGCACUUCGCCGCGUCUAGGCCAGCAUCAGUUCGUCGCGGGGGAAAAAGGUUUCGGUAACGUGGCUCCUCCGGGAGUGUUAUAGCCCGUUGCAUAAUACCCUGCGGUGGACUGAGGACCGCGCAUCUGCAUGGAUGCUGGCGUAAUGGUCACCAGCGACCCGUCUUGAAACACGG
rnacentral:rRNA from 1 species